rnacentral:rRNA from 1 species
GACGAACGCUGGCGGCGUGCUUAACACAUGCAAGUCGAACGGAAAGGCCCUGCUUUUGUGGGGUGCUCGAGUGGCGAACGGGUGAGUAACACGUGAGUAACCUGCCCUUGACUUUGGGAUAACUUCAGGAAACUGGGGCUAAUACCGGAUAGGAGCUCCUGCUGCAUGGUGGGGGUUGGAAAGUUUCGGCGGUUGGGGAUGGACUCGCGGCUUAUCAGCUUGUUGGUGGGGGAGUGGCUUACCAAGGCUUUGACGGGUAGCCGGCCUGAGAGGGUGACCGGCCACAUUGGGACUGAGAUACGGCCCAGACUCCUACGGGAGGCAGAAGUGGGGAAUAUUGCACAAUGGGCGGAAGCCUGAUGCAGCAACGCCGCGUGCGGGAUGACGGCCUUCGGGUUGUAAACCGCUUUCGCCUGUGACGAAGCGUGAGUGACGGUAAUGGGUAAAGAAGCACCGGCUAACUACGUG